GUGAAAUUUUAAUAGACUUAGUGGCGGACGGGUGAGUAACGCGUGGAUAACCUGCCUUAUACAGGGGGAUAACGGAGAGAAAUUUCCGCUAACACCGCAUAAGACCACAGCACCGCAUGGUGCAGGGGUAAAAUAUUUAUAGGUAUAAGAUGGAUCCGCGUCCGAUUAGCUAGUUGGUGAGGUAAAGGCCCACCAAGGCGACGAUCGGUAGCCGGCCUGAGAGGGUGAACGGCCACAUUGGGACUGAGACACGGCCCAAACUCCUACGGGAGGCAGCAG
rnacentral:rRNA from 1 species